UGCCACCGAGGGCGACCCAGAUCACAUUAGAUUCCCAAAGCAAAGGGAACAGUUCUCAUCUAUCCGUCACCAAGGAGGCAGACAGGACCGGGGAACAACAAGGCAUUUGUACCUGAGGCGGAGGACACUCCUGGGAAACAAACAGAUGAGCCACCCCACGAAUCCGAGCUAUUCUCCAGAGAGCCCAGGGUGACCAUGCAACAUCUCAGCAAGCUGUUCCAAAUCUGCUGAAACCAACCACCUUUCAACUACUGAACAAUGUUUACAUGGGCAAAUACAACGUGUGAUCUGAGUUACCAUAGAAUUGCCUGGCAACCACUUUGCAAACCCUUCCACAAUUAUCCUCUGGCCUUCAUGCAAGUGAAGCCCCCCACCCCCACCCAACCAGUAAAUGCACCAAUUGAUUUUUUUCCCUGUUGGCAUCUUGUCUCUUUACCGCAGAUGCCCCCUGCUACAAAGAUUUAUAUAAAUAUUUACACCCACAGUGAGAAAAUGCCCAUACGUUGUAUGCUAGAGGAACUUCGGCUGACCUCGAAAUCUCCACUUAUGCCAUUGAAUUGAGUUUGCAACGAGGUGAUCUAUUGAGGCUUGGAAUCAUUCAGAAACCUGGCAGGUGGAUCACAGGUUAUACACAACCAUAGCCCCAGAACCCUAUUCAGGGAGAGAAAGGAAUAAGAGUAUAUGCAACACCUGUUGCCUACUGUAGGAAGAACAAUGCCUCUGCAUUGAUCAAGCCUGGCAAAAAUGAAAAAUGAAAAAAUCCUGGGCCUUCUGCUGAGUCAAGAGAACGGUACCUACGUCAUGGUUCUUGUUCUUGUUUAAAAACCCAUUUUAAAAAGUUGUAAAAAAUGUGCAUUGAAUGUGCUUUAAAUAUACAGUGUGGAUGUCACCUAUGGAUCACAUCCUGCCUCUUCUGUUGCUGUGCCCUCUCUGCCAGCAUAUCUCUUCCCCAAGCGAAAAGGACUUAACUUUGGGAAGAGAUGCAACAGGAACUAAAGCGAUCCCAUUGACGCAAGAUUGGCUCUGCAGGUGGGUCAAAAUUCACUGCAGUCCCC